CCUACGGGAGGCAGCAGUGGGGAAUAUUGCACAAUGGGGGAAACCCUGAUGCAGCGACGCCGCGUGAGUGAAGCAGUAUUUCGGUACGUAAAGCUCUAUCAGCAGGGAAGAAAAUGACGGUACCUGACUAAGAAGCCCCGGCUAACUACGUGCCAGCAGCCGCGGUAAUACGUAGGGGGCAAGCGUUAUCCGGAUUUACUGGGUGUAAAGGGAGCGUAGACGGCAGCGCAAGUCUGGAGUGAAAUCCCAUGGCUUAACCAUGGAACUGCUUUGGAAACUGUGCAGCUAGAGUGCAGGAGAGGUAAGCGGAAUUCCUAGUGUAGCGGUGAAAUGCGUAGAUAUUAGGAGGAACACCAGUGGCGAAGGCGGCUUACUGGACUGUAACUGACGUUGAGGCUCGAAAGCGUGGGGAGCAAACAGGAUUAGAUACCCCUGUAGUC
rnacentral:rRNA from 1 species